rnacentral:lncRNA from 1 species
CACCAUUCUUCUGAAGUUCAUGUUUAUGAAAGAAUUUUGGAGAAAUAUGCUUCGUUCUGUCGCCUUUGAUAUAGCCUUAUUUGAGUUGUGCAAUACAAGCUGUAUUAUCUUCAAACAAAAUUGUUGGACUAUCUUUUGUUGAAGUCAAUCCACAUGAUGAUUGGAUAUGAUGGGUCAUAUUCCUCAACCAUACACAUUCUAGCCCUACUUCAUGGAUUGCAAUAAUCUCAGAAUGAUUUGAGGAUGUUGCUGUCAUGGAUUGCUUCAAAGAUCUCCAUGAUAUAGUUGUUCCUCCACGUGUAAACACAUAUCCUGUUUGUGAUUUAACUUUAUGUGGAUCGGAGAGAUAACCUACAUCUGCAUAUCCCACUAAAGCAGAUCCUGACUUUUGAGAAUAAAACAGUCCCAUAUCAAUAGUACCUUUUAGGUAACGAAAAAUAUGUUUAACAUCAUUCCAAUGCCUUUGAGUUGGUGUAGAGCUAUAUCUUACAAGGAGAUUUACAGAAAAAGUUAUGUCAGAUCGAGUGCAAUUUGCAAGAUAAGUUAAUGUUCCAAUUGUACUAAGGUAUGGUACUUCAGGACCAAGAAUAUUUUCU